UACGUAGGGACCAAGCGUUGUUCGGAUUUACUGGGCGUAAAGGGCGCGUAGGCGGCUUGUUAAGUGUGAAGUGAAAUCUCCAGAGCUCAACUCGGAAACCGCUUCGCAUACUGGCAAGCUAGAGGAAUGCAGAGGUAAGUGGAAUUCCUGGUGUAGCGGUGAAAUGCAUAGAUAUCAGGAGGAACACCCAUGGCGAAGGCAGCUUACUGGGCAUUAUCUGACGCUGAGGUGCGAAAGCGUGGGGAGCAAACAGG
rnacentral:rRNA from 1 species